UAUAUAUAUAUAUAUGUUUAUGUACUUGGCUAUAUUUUCUAAACGUUAACGACGACUCUUCGUUUAUUAGAGAGAAUGUGAUUUUCCAUAUUAUAUGCGGCGCGUAACACUUUUUUAACGCGUGCCCUACAAUGUAUAAGUAUUCUACAUACAUGACAAUAUAAUAUUCAUCCUACUGCACCAACCGACCCUCCCUCCAUCUAUCGUUUACCUACUUUCAGACUGCAGAGUUUGCACACGUGUUUUUAAUAUUUCAAAAGUCAAGCGUCCACUCGCCUCUAGAUAAUCAAUUCCGAAUUCAGUAAAUAUUUACUAUAGUUACGCAUUUAUUUCAUUUAUAUAUUUUUAUAUAUAUAUAAUUCACGUUUUGAAUUUUUUUUUUAAUAACAGAUCGGAACAGCAUUGUAUCUGGGUAAAUCACAUUUCACACGCAAACGC